ACUGGGUAAAGUAGUUCAGAGAUUUAAUUAUAAGAAGGCACUUUUUGUAGCGGCGAAGUGAACAACGUAGGAAACAUUUGUAUGUGUAAUACUGAAAUGUACUGUUAUAUCAGGCUGUCGGGGAGAGAAACAACUAUGUCCAGUGUGGUCUGUCAUGGGGAAUGAAACAUCUAGCAAAUCACAGAAUGCAGCUGCAGAGCCGAAGAAAACGACGGCAGAAGAUGAGACGAAGACGCCGACAGGAAGGGGGAGAAAAACAAUACCUCAGAACGAUGGGGACGAUAAAGGAGAGGUCAGGAGUAAUAGUAGACCAGGGAAUGUUCCCAAACCACUGACAGCACUUUCUAAUAGAAGUGAGGAGGAAUAUGUUCGUUACCACGGAAACACUCCAAUGGGACGGCUACAACGUAGUGACCUUUAUCCAUUUUUUAAGUACCAAUAUAGACCUCGUAGGGGCAGGGACUAUCGGUUUAGUGUGAAAACUGCGUCUACAGGUUCGGAUGUAGA